UUUGAAAUCUGGCACUUUCAGUGUCCGAGUUGUAAUUUGAAGAAGGUAUCUUUGGGUCUGGCUCUUGUCUAUGUUUCUUGGAACAGAACGUCACAGAGGGUGAGAAUCCCGUGCGAUGAGAUGUCCCAGACCUAUGUAAAGUUCCUUCGAAGAGUCGAGUUGUUUGGGAAUGCAGCUCUAAGUGGGUGGUAAAUUCCAUCUAAAGCUAAAUAUUGGCGAGAGACCGAUAGCGAACAAGUACAGUGAUGGAAAGAUGAAAAGAACUUUGAAAAGAGAGUGAAAAAGUACGUGAAAUUGUUGAAAGGGAAGGGCUUGAGAUCAGACUUGGUAUUUUGUAUGUUACUCUCUCGGGGGUGGCCUCUACAGUUUACCGGGCCAGCAUCAGUUUGAGCGGUAGGAUAAGUGCAAAGAAAUGUGGCACUGCUUCGGUAGUGUGUUAUAGUCUUUGUCGAUACUGCCAGCUUAGACUGAGGACUGCGGCUUCGGCCUAGGAUGUUGGCAUAAUGAUCUUAAGUCGCCCGUCUUGAAACACGGACCA
rnacentral:rRNA from 1 species